UGAAGAUUAAGGGCUGAGGGAAAUUCAUCCUUGGAUCAACGAAAUAGUUGAAUUAGCUAAGAUGCAAGAACCAGGGUUGCGAUCCCGCGAGGGUGAGCUAAUCCCUAAACCCGUCAUCAAUUUGGAUUGCAGGUUGCAACUCACUUGCAUGAAGACAGAAUUGCUAGUAAUCAUCGAUCAGCCAUAUUGCGGUAAAUUCUUUCUUGGGCCUUAUACACAUCGCCUGUCACUUUAGGGGAGUUGACCAUGCCCGAAGUCGUUAUCUUAACUACAAGGAGGGGGAUGCCGAAGGCAGGGCUAGUGAUUGGAUUUAAGUCGUAACAAGGUAGCGUACUGGAAAAUGUGGGUG
rnacentral:ncRNA from 1 species